rnacentral:hammerhead_ribozyme from 1 species
AUUCAACUGAAGAGUCCCAAAAAGGACGAAACACCCUAACUGAAU